rnacentral:lncRNA from 1 species
AAUCACAGGUAGAACUACAAGUAUGGGCUCACUAAAGCUUUAUAAAAUAUUUAUGUUUUAUUUAUAUGUUCAUUUGUUUACUUCCCCCAAUAUAUAAAUGAACUAACUACAAUAUAAGUUAUUAUCUCCCAUAAACUGCUAACAGUCUUAGCUUAUUAAUUCCAUACAUAAAUAAAACAAUCAAAGGCAGUGUAGUAUGAUGUCAAGUGCCGUGAACUCAAUCAGGAACUUAGUUUUCAGUGAAAUCUGCAUAUAAAUGGGAUCAGUAGAUAUAUAAUAGCUUACUUCUUAGGUUAAUGCUAUACAGUACACUCAAUCCAGUGUUUUCCUAAGUGCUUUUAACGUCAAGGCCAUGUAAGAGACAAAGCAGAAUUUUUUAUAAAUUACUUAGUUUACAUAGCAUGGUCCAAUCAACUUGUAAAACGUUUCACACUCAUGAAAUAUAUAAAUGCUAUCAUAUUAAACAGGCCAUAGCAUGACGCUAACCACACUUUGUUUUGGUAAAACAAUUGACUACGACAGUUUACACAUAGGUCUCCAUGUCUUAUAACACGUAACACAGUUACCAUGGUAGCCACUAAACGGAGUUGAGAGGAGUGCCUGAUUACAGGCAGUUAUUUUUAGGCACUGGCACAAGUCCUAUCAAGAUGAUGAUUAAUUGAAAAAACAUUUCUGUUAAAUUUUGUAUAUUACACACACAUGUGCGCACACACACUCUCUCACACAGAGCAGCUAUGGAUAUCAUAGAAAUUGAAAAAUACACGAGGAGAGGGUACACAGAUGCCACAGGGCAGUAAAAGCCUGAUUAAACAGAAGCCACAAGAUAGAAGGAAGAUAGAUACAAACACAGAGGGAAGCGGAGACAGAAAAGCUUAGUGUCCAGAAUGGCAGGAUUCUAUAGAGACUGUUGGGCCAUUAGAGCUGCUGUAAGUGUCCAGAGUAAGAUUCCACUAUUCUCUGACCAGAUGACUUAAGUGCUGAGAUAAGAAGUGUCCCUAAGUAAUUGAUAAACCAACCCAUAUCAUCACAGAUCACCUUAAGAUGCAGCUGUUCCUUGAAAUCCAAGAGCAUUUAACUAUUAAACCAUGAGUUAUACAACUAAUGAGGAUAAUAGAAUCAGAAAAUAAGUCCCAGAAGUUCCCUAAUGGAGGUGAAGAAACACAUGAAUAUAUCCGAUUUCCUUUUAUUUGAAAUAGAUGCAUCUCUAUGCUAAAAUUCAACAAAAGCCCAUUUUCAAUACUGAUGUUUAAAUAUGAGACUGCACUUAUAGACUCAAAUUGGAAAUGCAGGGGGCCCCAUACGGUGGAUUUGACCCUCAAUUAAACUUUAUUUGACAUAGGAACAAACAAGUACAGAAAAUAUGCUUCUAUUUGCAGAAUUGCAGUUUAAAAACAUGAAUUAUAUUCUAAAAGUUCACAAAAUCAUAAAUACAAAGGCAUGUUCCUCAAUUUUUGUUUUAUUCUGUUUUUUAAUAAAAAGCCUCAGUACACAGAUGAUGUUUCUGUGCUACUUUUGGUGCACAUGUUUUGAUUUCUGUCUGCACGCCUUUUGAGAUUCUGUCCCAUUCUAUAUUUAUAAUUCUCUUAUUCUCAUUAUUGCCAAAUUGAAUUUUAACUAUUUUUCUCAAUCUCCAGAUUAAUGUACUUUUAAAUUUUUUUCUCCUCUUUCUUUUUUUAAUCUUUAUCUCUUCAAUGGCCUUUUUUUUUUUUUUUAACAGAGAACACACAAAGAGGGAUGCUAAAUAGAAUGUUAUAUGUCAUUCUUAAAAGUUCACAUAGUAAAAAGUAGUAGCAUUGAUAUUUUAUUGUAUUGAAGGGGAAACUUAGAACUCACUUCCCCAUGUACAGAAUGAUCCACAUAUAUAUUCAACUUGAGGUCUUAAAGCAAAGGUAGCAGAAGACUUUAUAUAACAGUGAUUGCUUUGCUUUUGAAAUAUAAUAAGCAGCAAAGAGGAUGUAAUGAUGGUCUUUUUUACUUUUGGAACACCUUUAAUACUGUAGAAAUAAUUUUAUGUUUCCUUUGUCACCUCACAAAUAUUAUUAAUACAGGAUAUCACUGUCUUAAAAUUAGGAAAUGAGUGCUGUGAAGUCACUGAGAAAAUGAAUGAAUGAGCUAGGAAUAACAUAACACCUUGUAUUUCUUUCCUUCCUCUCUCCCUUCCUUCCUUUAUGCCUACUAAUACAAUUUUUUUCUUAAUUUCCAGGAGUAGCAGUGAUUUUGCUACAAGAAAAUUGAAUCCAGAAUGAGAGAUGAUUGCUCUAAUUUAGUUCUUUAUUAUGCUUUAUCAAAAAGUAGCACUUUUCUUUGUGUAACAGAAAUUAACUGAUUACAAUGAUAACAAUACUUUGUAUGCAUUUAUUUGAAAAAUGUCUCUUGAUUGACUUCUAUGAAGUGUUGGUUUUAGUUCUGACUCAAAAUCAUACAUGAAAGAUGCUAUUGUCUAACCCACAUUCUAGUACAAUCAUCUUUGAGGCUAAUACUAAGAAAAAAAAGAAACUAAUUUUUAUGGAAUUCCUAAUACAUGCCAGACAUUUUCUCAAAGUGAUUUACUAAUUAAUCUACUCAUUCAUACUGUGAUAAAUGUACUCUUUUUCUCACUUUUCAAUUUCGUAAGUUAGAGAUUAAGUUGUUCUCACCAGUCUGGGGGAAUCUUCCAAGUUAGUGUCCGCAGGAGUAUGGACUACAGUACUGUGUCUUCCUACAAAACAUAGAAUGUAUAAAUGAAUUUUAAUUGGUAAGUGUUCCAUGCCUACUCUGCCAACUUUCAAUUGUAGAAAGGCAGUUUAGAACUGGGACUUUGACAAUUGCAUUAUUUGGGACACAGAGGAAGCAUGGAUUGGAAUGUUUUUCAUGUUUACCAAAACCAUCUGAAGAUUUAAAAGUUAUCUCAAAAAGAAAAGGUUUGUUUUUGUUUUUAGUACAUUAAAGCAAUUUAUCAAACCUCUAUUAUUUUUUCUACUUUCUAAUUUAUAAAUGUUCUUAAAUCACUGGCUAGAUAUGAGCUAAUAUGAACAUCUUUCCUUUACAUUAUUAAGUUUAGGCCAAUCUACUUGACAAUGGCCUUUACCAUUCACUCAAGUCAGAGCUCAUGAAUUGAUAAUAUUUGUAGCAUUUGCUAGCAAACAUAAAAAAAAAAUGACUGACUGGUCAUAAACUUUAUUGUAAAUCAAAGUCAAUAUUUUUAUGUCCUUGGAUAAAUAUGUCACACAAGUUUUUGUAAGAACUUUGUAUAGUUGACUCAAAUUCUUGUAAUUUUUUUUCUUUAACCAGAUUAAUUUGUAUAAGUAAGCACUAUGCUUCCAAAGUUUUUUUUUUAAUUUUUUGAUACCAGUUAUUUUACACAACUAUUUAUAGAACAAUUUGGAAUAAUCAAAUCAAAACCAGAGAGGACGCUUCAGAUGUAUUUCAUUUCCCUCUGAUUCCCAAUUGAAACAUGAUGUUUUAAGGAAGCAGCCAAGAGAGGCACAUGUUCUUUUGAGUUGCUGACUUGAAAACUGAUCUUAAGAAUAGACUAAGAAUUUAGUAAACUGGUAAAGAAAGAAGGACAUGUGUGAGAGAUGAGAUUCUCAUUUUCUUGCCUUCUUAUAUGGCUGUUUUUUAGUAUCUCUUAGACGUGGACGAUCUUGAUGAAUGAUUCAUCAGUAUCAUCUGAAUCUAUAGUCAGGUGUACACAUUCAUUUAAUCUGUCAGUUUGAAAUAUUCAGAGAACGAAGUAUUUAAAAGAAGCAGUGUACCAUUGUUAAAGGUUGAUUCUUUUAACAACAUGUAAAUUGUUAUUAAGCAGCUUUUUUUCUGGUACUGUCAAAGAGACACAGGGGAGGUGAUUGUGUCUGGAAAGUCCAAGAUCAUAGUGCUCAAGGAUUCAGUGUCUGGUGAAGAGCCUCUUCGGACCUGGAGACUUCUGACAUCUCUCCAUGCCCUCUCUGUGGAAGGGUGGUUGAUGAAGCCAGUCACUGAGAUAAGGAACACUAGAAGCUAAGGGAUGAAUGGAAAGUGGCUAGUCUGAAUGCUGGAUAUUUUCCACUGCACCUCAGAUCAACAUAUUUCCUUUCUGUUCUUCCUGGGCAAGAUGCUUUCCAUGGAUUUUACAGACUGGAUUUCCCUGCCCUAUGGCUCCUGGUUGAGUAAUGCCAGCAGGAGAUCUAAGUGCAAGAAGAGUGGGAGCCAACCUGGGAGUUGUGGCCUGUCACAGCUUUGGUGACUCUGGGUGUUUAACCCACUGAGCCGCUGCAGAAACACCAUAGAUCCUGUUGUGCCACGGCAGGAACUCCUUGACUAAACUUUUAAAAUCAAAGAUAUAUGUCUUUCUUCACUUAGCCACUCUCUUCCCAAAAGAUCAAUGGAAUUCUUUACUAGACAAGGGGAAAUGAUUUUUGAAACCAACUUUCUGCUUCGUUAUUUCCCCUUCAAGUCCUUUUAUGCUUGGAAUUAAGAAAAGUAAAAGUUCUCAUUAGAAAUCUUAGUUCAAAUAAGACAUGGGCUUGAAAUUUUUGAAGAUUUUCAGGGAAGUAAAAAGUUCUCAAGGCACAAGAGCCAACUCUGUUCUUUUGAAAAUUAAGCAUAAUUACUUCACUUGGAGGAUUAUUUCACAAUUCAGUAGAUUCACUUCCAGGAAAAUUGUCUUGGUGUUAAGCCUAGUUUGGUUUUCUUUUUCUUCUUUAUACUAGACUUACUUACAGUAGCUCUCUUUUAUUUUGUGAGGCACCCUACAGGGAAUGAGAAUACUUUGCAAAUUAAACACUAUUUGAAUAAAGUCUGCAUGGAAAUAAAGGCCUUUAUACA